rnacentral:rRNA from 1 species
UACAGAGGGUGCGAGCGUUAAUCGGAAUUACUGGGCGUAAAGCGUGCGCAGGCGGUUGUGCAAGACCGAUGUGAAAUCCCCGGGCUUAACCUGGGAAUGGCAUUGGUGACUGCACGGCUAGAGUGUGUCAGAGGGGGGUAGAAUUCCACGUGUAGCAGUGAAAUGCGUAGAGAUGUGGAGGAACACCGAUGGCGAAGGCGGCAUCCUGGACCGGCAUUGACGCUGAGGAGCGAAAGCCAGGGGAGCAAACGGG